CAAGUCCGUUCUGACCGGGAUAACUAUGUUGUCAUUCUCUGGGACAACAUCUAUCCAAGUAUGUAUCUCGUUAUUACGGUCUUGUA